UACGGGGGGGGCAAGCGUUGUUCGGAAUUAUUGGGCGUAAAGAGCUCGUAGGCGGUUUGUCGCGUCUGCUGUGAAAACCCGAGGCUCAACCUCGGGCCUGCAGUGGGUACGGGCAGACUAGAGUGCGGUAGGGGAGAUUGGAAUUCCUGGUGUAGCGGUGAAAUGCGCAGAUAUCGGGAGGAACACCGAUGGCGAAGGCAGCACUCUGGGCCGGCACUGACGCUGAGGAGCGAAAGCGUGGGGAGCGAACAGG
rnacentral:rRNA from 1 species